CCAGGGGAUUCACAAGCACACUAAAGUUUGAGACGCAUGGGCUUGGAUGACUCCUUUAUAGUAAGGUCACAAUGAAUAAACAAAAUCUGAUUCAGAGACUAUGCCAAGCCAGGUGAUAAGAUCUUGAAGAACCAAGAUCCAGAGAGAAGUGAAAGGAAUCAGUGUUCCAUGGAACGGAAGUGCAUCAGGAAAGGAAAGAGAAAACAGAUUCAGACUAAAGCACGUGCCUGACAAUGUGUCUGCUGCAUUGCAUGAGGCAGCCUUGCUGCAGCCAACCAUAGUGGGGUGGCUGUCCAUAUCCAUGGGUUCUGUAUCCAUAGAUGCAGAAUUCUUGAAUACAGAGGGUUGACUGGGAGAUCUGACAUCUGCAGGUUUUGGUAUCCGUGGAAGGUUCUGCAACCAAUCUCUGGUGGAUGUGAGAGGUGAUUGUACUUAAGCUUCAAGAAAGGCCUCCUCUGCUAAAAAUGCUCUCUGAUUAGCCAUUCACUGCUUCCUGAACUAUGAAGACAUCUUCUAGGAAUACUCAGGAUCUUCUGCUAUGUGGCUUUAAUUUAUUUUAAGAUUAAUUCCUCAUUACCUUCUUACACAAAGCCACCAUUAGCAUAUCAAGCACAGCUGUACAAAUUUUUAAAAGGCCAAAAGAUGUAUCUGCCAAUUCUAGGAGGAUAUAAACCUGAAGGCACAAAUCUGGGCUGGAGCACAUGGUUUCCCUUGUGAGAAGAAAAAGUCUCCUUCCUCUGAAUGGACACACCUUGCACACCAGGGCACAAGGUUUGUCUAGAAGAGCACAGCUGAACAUCAUAAAGUGCAGAACCACACACCUGGCAUCCUUGUCCCUACACAAGGUAUGUUGCUGUUAAAGUAUAAUUUGUUACUCUCCAAAGCACACUCACAAUUCCCUACUUGGGUCCCUUGUUGCAUGUUACUGCUCCUCAUUUAUGCAUUUGGAUGCUUUCUUAUAUUUUUCCUCAACCUCUACCACAUUCAGUUAGGCACUCAGCCUAUAUUUCAUGUAUACCUAUGUAGCAGGUCUUAUGACCAGAGUUGGGGAUGCACAGAAAUUGCAGAUUUCUUAUUCAUGACAUUACUUCUCAUCCCCACAACUCAAUAUGAUAAUUCCUUUCCC
rnacentral:lncRNA from 10 species